rnacentral:tRNA from 1 species
GCCGAAGUGGUGGAAUUGGUAGACGCGUCGGACUCAAAAUCCGGUUCUGGCAACAGAGUGAGGGUUCAAGUCCCUCCUUCGGCACCA